UACAGAUGGUUAUGAGCCACCAUGUGGUUACUGGGAAUUGAACUCGGGACUUCUGGAAGUGCUCUUAACUGCUGAGCC
rnacentral:miRNA from 14 species